GGUCCUCACUCACAAAGUGGCGGUGACAUGUCAUGCCGUGCAAUCAUAUCACAGCCAUCUUUGAUGAGUGAGGCCCC